ACUCCUACGGGAGGCAGCAGUGGGGAAUUUUGGACAAUGGGCGAAAGCCUGAUCCAGCAAUGCCGCGUGAGUGAAGAAGGCCUUCGGGUUGUAAAGCUCUUUUGUCAGGGAAGAAACGGUGAAAGCUAAUAUCUUUUGCUGAUGACGGUACCUGAAGAAUAAGCACCGGCUAACUACGUGCCAGCAGCCGCGGUAAUACGUAGGGUGCAAGCGUUAAUCGGAAUUACUGGGCGUAAAGCGUGCGCAGGCGGUUUUGUAAGUCUGAUGUGAAAUCCCCGGGCUCAACCUGGGAAUUGCAUUGGAGACUGCAAGGCUAGAAUCUGGCAGAGGGGGGUAGAAUUCCACGUGUAGCAGUGAAAUGCGUAGAUAUGUGGAGGAACACCGAUGGCGAAGGCAGCCCCCUGGGUCAAGAUUGACGCUCAUGCACGAAAGCGUGGGGAGCAAACAGGAUUAGAAACCCUUGUAGUCCCAUGA
rnacentral:rRNA from 1 species